rnacentral:rRNA from 1 species
UACAGAGGGUGCGAGCGUUGUCCGGAAUCACUGGGCGUAAAGGGCGUGUAGGCGGGAAGGAAAGUCAGAUGUGAAAUCCCUGGGCUCAACCCAGGAACUGCAUUUGAAACUCCCUUUCUUGAGUGUCGGAGAGGAAAGCGGAAUUCCUGGUGUAGAGGUGAAAUUCGUAGAUAUCAGGAGGAACACCGGUGGCGAAGGCGGCUUUCUGGACGACAACUGACGCUGAGACGCGAAAGCGUGGGGAGCAAACAGG